rnacentral:sRNA from 1 species
CUCACCCUAGCCCUCUCCCCGCAAGCGGGGAGAGGGGACGUGCGCCGCA